CUAUGUUCACUAUUUAUUUGGUAUUAGAUGGAUGUUCUUGUAUUACUAUAAAUGGGGACGUGGUUGCUCAAGGAUCCCAGUUUUUCUUAAAGGAUGUUAAGGUCUUGACUGCUCAGAUUGACCUAGAUACGGACGAGGCUGGUGCAUAUCAUCUAUAAAGACAGUCGGGACUAGAAAAAGAUCUAAGUAGGUGUAUGUUAGGUGAUUAUAUUCUCCAAUUAUUUAUCUCUGCUGUCUGGUGGAAGCUCAAAUGAGAAUAUAUCAGCACAUCUGCAUCUCCAUAUGGAUGGAAUGGCUCGAGGCUUCUUCAUUUCAUAGUCGAAAGCAUCUACAGCUCGCAUUUGUAUAUAUGAAAUGAAACAACUUCCUUUCCACAUUUUUUAGGUAGUUAAGGGUAUCUGAGGGUUUGAUCUUUUGGUUGUUUAGCAUUUCCAUAAAUCAGAUCUUGAAAGGAAAUUAAUAUAUUUGUCCCCUCUGAUUUAUAGAUACGUCUUUUCUUUCCUACAAUGUUGUAAUAAUAGUACAAGUGAAGGUAUAUCUAUCAAUCAAUGUGACUGUAAAUUAUUUU